UACGAAGGGGGCUAGCGUUGUUCGGAUUUACUGGGCGUAAAGCGCACGUAGGCGGAUUCUUAAGUCAGGGGUGAAAUCCCGAGGCUCAACCUCGGAACUGCCUUUGAUACUGGGGAUCUCGAGUUCGGGAGAGGUGAGUGGAAUUGCGAGUGUAGAGGUGAAAUUCGUAGAUAUUCGCAAGAACACCAGUGGCGAAGGCGGCUCACUGGCCCGGUACUGACGCUGAGGUGCGAAAGCGUGGGGAGCAAACAGG
rnacentral:rRNA from 1 species